ACUAGGCUAUCAAAAUUCUUUUGCAAGGAAAACAAAUAAGGCCUAUUAGCUGAAAA
rnacentral:tRNA from 1 species